UACGUAGGGUGCGAGCGUUAAUCGGAAUUACUGGGCGUAAAGCGUGCGCAGGCGGUUAUGUAAGACAGGUGUGAAAUCCCCGGGCUUAACCUGGGAACUGCAUUUGUGACUGCAUAGCUAGAGUACGGUAGAGGGGGAUGGAAUUCCGCGUGUAGCAGUGAAAUGCGUAGAUAUGCGGAGGAACACCGAUGGCGAAGGCAAUCCCCUGGACCUGUACUGACGCUCAUGCACGAAAGCGUGGGAAGCAAACAGG
rnacentral:rRNA from 1 species